UCCGGUUUGUCACCGGCAGUCCCAUUAGAGUGCCCAACUGAAUGUGGCAACUAAUGGCAAGGGUUGCGCUCGUUGCGGGACUUAACCCAACAUCUCACGACACGAGCUGACGACGGCCAUGCAGCACCUGUGUUGCGGUUCCCUUUCGGGCACCGAGGUACCUCUACCCCGUUCCGCACAUGUCAAACCCAGGUAAGGUUCUUCGCGUUGCAUCGAAUUAAGCCACAUGCUCCGCCGCUUGUGCGGGCCCCCGUCAAUUCCUUUGAGUUUUAGCCUUGCGGCCGUACUCCCCAGGCGGAGUGCUUAAUGCGUUAGCUGCGGCACAGAGAGGGUUGAAGACCUCCCCACACCUAGCACUCAACGUUUACGGCUGGGACUAC
rnacentral:misc_RNA from 1 species